UCCGAGUUGACCCCGGCAGUCUCCCAUGAGUCCCCGCCAUUACGCGCUGGCAACAUGGAACGAGGGUUGCGCUCGUUGCGGGACUUAACCCAACAUCUCACGACACGAGCUGACGACAGCCAUGCACCACCUGCACACAGGCCACAAGGGAACCGACAUCUCUGCCGGCGUCCUGUGCAUGUCAAACCCAGGAUAAGGUUCUUCGCGUUGCAUCGAAUUGAACCACAUGCUCCACCGCUUGUGCGGGUCCCCGUCAAUUCCUUUGAGUUUUAAUCUUGCGACCGUACUCCCCAGGCGGUCUACUUCACGCGUUAGCUGCGUUACCAAGUCAAUUAAGACCCGACAACUAGUAGACAUCGUUUAGGGCGUGGACUAC
rnacentral:misc_RNA from 1 species